ACUGCUGGGGAAUACAGGUCUCUCGUCUUUCUCCUGAAGCUCCCUCCACUCUCUCUUACAAAUGAACAACAACAACAUGUGUAUUCUCCUACAAUCAUCAUUACAAUAAUAACAACUUUCUGUCCAUCGUGUUAGGUUUUCGUGUAGAUAGGAGUGUGAAAAAGAAGCAUGGGUAGCAGCUCUCAGGCGAUCCGCUAUCCAGUUACAACAACCUGUGCCGGAAAUAUUGAUGCUCUUAAUAGAGUUCUUGCUAACCUAUGUACCAGAAGCAAUCCUAAGGAUGGGGCUGCAUUGACCUUGAGGUGGCUUGUAGAGGAAGAAGCUCGUGAUCUUAGUGGAGAAGCAUUUGCUCGUUUCAUGGAUCAUCUAUAUGAACGCAUUACUACAUUUCUUGAUAGUAAUAAAGUUUCUGAAAAUCUGGGAGCAUUGAGGGCUAUUGAUGAGCUAAUAGAUGUCACCAUCAGCGAAAAUACAUCAAAAGUGGCAAAAUUCUCCAAUUACAUGCGCGCAGCCUUUGAAACAAAGCGUGAUCCUGAAAUCUUGGUCCUUGCUAUUAAAGUUCUUGGUCACCUAGCUAGAUCUGGUGGUGCAAUGACUGCAGAUGAAGUAGAACGUUAGGUUAAAGUUGCACUAGAAUGGCUUCGUGGUGAAAGAAUUGAGUAUCGUCGCCUUGCUGCAGUCUUAAUAUUAAAGGAAAUGGUAGAAAAUGCUUCAACCGGCUUCAAUGUUCACGUGCCGGAGUUUGUAGAUGCUAUUUGGGUUGCUCUGAGGGAUCCAACAUUAGCUGUUGGAGAAAAAGCUGUUGAGUCAUUGCGUGCGUGCCUUCGGGUUAUUGAAAAGCGUGAGACAAGGUGGCGUGUUUAGUGGUAUUAUUGAAUGUUUGAGGCUACCCAAGAUGGAUUGGGGAGAAAUGCACCUGUUCAAAGUAUACAUGGAUCCCUUCUCGCAGUCGGGGACCGGCUAAGG